UACGAAGGGGGCUAGCGUUGCUCGGAAUCACUGGGCGUAAAGCGCACGUAGGCGGACUCUUAAGUCAGGGGUGAAAUCCUGGAGCUCAACUCCAGAACUGCCUUUGAUACUGGGAGUCUUGAGUUCGGGAGAGGUGAGUGGAACUGCGAGUGUAGAGGUGAAAUUCGUAGAUAUUCGCAAGAACACCAGUGGCGAAGGCGGCUCACUGGCCCGAUACUGACGCUGAGGCGCGAAAGCCAGGGGAGCAAAGCGGG
rnacentral:rRNA from 1 species